AUUGAACGCUGGCGGCAUGCCUUACACAUGCAAGUCGAACGGCAGCGCGGGAGUAAUCCUGGUGGCGAGUGGCGAACGGGUGAGUAAUAUAUCGGAACGUGCCCAGUAGUGGGGGAUAACUGCUCGAAAGAGCAGCUAAUACCGCAUACGACCUGAGGGUGAAAGGGGGGGAUCGCAAGACCUCUCGCUAUUGGAGCGGCCGAUAUCAGAUUAGCUAGUUGGUGGGGUAAAGGCCUACCAAGGCAACGAUCUGUAGUUGGUCUGAGAGGACGACCAGCCACACUGGGACUGGGACACGGCCCAGACUCCUACGGGAGGCAGCAGUGGGGAAUUUUGGACAAUGGGCGCAAGCCUGAUCCAGCAAUGCCGCGUGCAGGAAGAAGGCCUUCGGGUUGUAAACUGCUUUUGUCAGGGAAGAAAUCCUCUAGGUUAAUACCCUUGGGGGGAUGACGGUACCUGAAGAAUAAGCACCGGCUAACUACGUGCCAGCCGCCGCCGUAAUAC
rnacentral:rRNA from 1 species